UGAACGCUAGCUACAGGCUUAACACAUGCAAGUCGAGGGGGAAACGAUAUUGGAAGCUUGCUUCUGAUAGGCGUCGACCGGCGCACGGGUGAGUAACGCGUAUCCAACCUGCCCAUCACUUGGGGAUAACCUUGCGAAAGUAAGACUAAUACCCAAUGAUAUCUCUAGAAGACAUCUGAAAGAGAUUAAAGAUUUAUCGGUGAUGGAUGGGGAUGCGUCUGAUUAGCUUGUUGGCGGGGUAACGGCCCACCAAGGCGACGAUCAGUAGGGGUUCUGAGAGGAAGGUCCCCCACAUUGGAACUGAGACACGGUCCAAACUCCUACGGGAGGCAGCAGUGAGGAAUAUUGGUCAAUGGACGAGAGUCUGAACCAGCCAAGUAGCGUGCAGGAUGACGGCCCUAUGGGUUGUAAACUGCUUUUAUAAGGGAAUAAAGUGAGUCUCGUGAGACUUUUUGCAUGUACCUUAUGAAUAAGGACCGGCUAAUUCCGUG
rnacentral:rRNA from 1 species